UACGAAGGGGCUAGCGUUGCUCGGAAUCACUGGGCGUAAGGGCGCGUAGGCGGCGUUUUAAGUCGGGGUGAAAGCCUGUGGCUCAACCACAGAAUUGCCUUCGAUACUGGGACGCUUGGAGUGUGGUAGAGGUUGGUGGAACUGCGAGUGUAGAGGUGAAAUUCGUAGAUAUUCGGCAAGAACACCGGUGGCGAAGGCGGCCAACUGGACCAUCACUGACGCGAGGCGCGAAAGCGUGGGGAGCAAACAGG
rnacentral:rRNA from 1 species